UUUCUUGAUGUGCGUGAUAGAAUCGGCACCAAGUUAUUUUUUUAGAUAUUUGGGCGGUAAUAUAAUUGCGCGUUACAAUCGGGGGCACGGUAGAAUCGUGUAAAUGCAGUAUGCCGGCACAGAAGUUUAGGA
rnacentral:lncRNA from 1 species